AUACGUAGGGUGCGAGCGUUAAUCGGAAUUACUGGGCGUAAAGCGUGCGCAGGCGGUUAUGUAAGACAGAUGUGAAAUCCCCGGGCUCAACCUGGGAACUGCAUUUGUGACUGCAUAGCUAGAGUACGGCAGAGGGGGAUGGAAUUCCGCGUGUAGCAGUGAAAUGCGUAGAUAUGAGGAGGAACACCGAUGGCGAAGGCAAUCCCCUGGGCCUGUACUGACGCUCAUGCACGAAAGCGUGGGGAGCAAACAGGAUUAGAAACCCUAGUAGUCC
rnacentral:rRNA from 1 species